GACGAACGCUGGCGGCGUGCUUAACACAUGCAAGUCGAGCGGUAAGGCCUCUUCGGGGGUACACGAGCGGCGAACGGGUGAGUAACACGUGGGUGACCUGCCCUCCACUUCGGGAUAAGCCCGGGAAACUGGGUCUAAUACCGGAUACGACGCACCGGUGCAUGUCGGUGUGUGGAAAGAUUGGGUUCGGUGGGGGAUGGGCCCGCGGCCUAUGAGCUUGUUGGUGGGGUGAGGGCCUACCAAGGCGGUGACGGGUAGCCGGCCUGAGAGGGGGACCGGCCAAACUGGGACUGAGACACGGCCCAGACUCCUACGGGAGGCAGCAGUGGGGAAUCUUGCGCAAUGGGCGGAAGCCUGACGCAGCGACGCCGCGUGGGGGAUGACGGCCUUCGGGUUGUAAACCUCUUUCGCCAUCGACGAAGACCCCUUGGGGGUGACGGUAGGUGGAGAAAAAGCACCGGCCAACUACGUGCCAGCCGCCGCGGUAACAC
rnacentral:rRNA from 1 species